rnacentral:rRNA from 1 species
GAUGAACGCUGGCGGCGUGCCUAAUACAUGCAAGUCGAGCGAAGCGGGGACGGGUGAGUAACACGUAGAUAACCUCCUAUAAGACUGGGAUAACUUCGGGAAACCGGAGCUAAACCGGAUCCUUAUAGAUGGAUCCGAUCUGACUUAGCUAGUUGGUAAGGUAACGGCUUACCAAGGCAACGAUGCAUAGCCGACCUGAGAGGGUGAUCGGCCACAAGGAAACUGAUAAACGGUCCAGACUCCUACGUGAGGCCGCAGUAGGGAAUCUUCCGCAAUGGGCGACAGCCUGACGGAGCAAAGCCGCGUGAGUGACGAAGGUCUUCGGAUCGUAAAACUCUGUUAUUAGGGAAGCGGUACCUACUCAGCAAGCCACGGCUAACUACGUGCCAGCCGCCGCGGUAAUUC